rnacentral:rRNA from 1 species
UCGGGAAUUUUGGGCAAUGGGCGAAAGCCUGACGCAGCAACGCCGCGUGAGUGAUGAAGGCCUUCGGGUCGUAAAGCUCUGUCGGAGGGAACGAAUGCUCCUGAAGUUAACAGCUUCAGGAUGUGACGGUACCCUCAAAGGAAGCACCGGCUAACUCUGUGCCAGCAGCCGCGGUAAUACAGAGGGUGCAAGCGUUGUUCGGAAUUACUGGGCGUAAAGCGCACGUAGGCGGAUUGUUAAGUCAGAGGUGAAAUCCCGGAGCUCAACUUCGGAACUGCCUUUGAUACUGGCAAUCUCGAGUCCGGAAGAGGUUAGUGGAAUUCCCAGUGUAGAGGUGAAAUUCGUAGAUAUUGGGAAGAACACCAGUGGCGAAGGCGGCUAACUGGUCCGGUACUGACGCUGAGGUGCGAAAGCGUGGGGAGCAAACAGGAUUAGAUACCCAAGUAGUCCCUGAGCGGGCUGGCAAGGCGCAU